rnacentral:rRNA from 1 species
GAUGAACGCUGGCGGCGUGCUUAACACAUGCAAGUCGAACGAGAAGUGGAGACGGAAACCUUCGGGCGGAAGACUUUAUUUCGAGUGGCGGACGGGUGAGUAACGCGUGGGUAACCUGCCUCAUACAGGGGGAUAACAGUUGGAAACGACUGUUAAUACCGCAUAAGACCACAGCACCGCAUGGUGCGGGGGUAAAAACUCCGGUGGUAUGAGAUGGACCCGCGUUCGAUUAGCCAGUUGGCGGGGUAACGGCCCACCAAAGCGACGAUCGAUAGCCGAUCUGAGAGGAUGACCGGCCACAUUGGGACUGAGACACGGCCCAAACUCCUACUGGAGGCAGCAGUGGGGAAUAUUGCACAAUGGGGGAAACCCUGAUGCAGCGACGCCGCGUGAGUGAAGAAGUAUUUCGGUAUGUAAAGCUCUAUCAGCAGGGAAGAAAAUGACGGUACCUGAGUAAGAAGCCCCGGCUAACUACGUG